rnacentral:sRNA from 1 species
GAGCGGCCGUCGGUGCAGAUCUUGGUGGUAGUAGCAA